GACGAACGCUGGCGGCGUGCCUAAUACAUGCAAGUUGAGCGCUGAAGGUUGGUACUUGUACCAACUGGAUGAGCAGCGAACGGGUGAGUAACGCGUGGGGAAUCUGCCUUUGAGCGGGGGACAACAUUUGGAAACGAAUGCUAAUACCGCAUAAAAACUUUAAACACAAGUUUUAAGUUUGAAAGAUGCAAUUGCACCACUCAAUGAUGAUCCCGCGUUGUAUUAGCUAGUUGGUGAGGUAAAGGCUCACCAAGGCGAUGAUACAUAGCCGACCUGAGAGGGGGAUCGGCCACAUUGGGACUGAGACACGGCCCAAACUCCUACGGGAGGCAGCAGUAGGGAAUCUUCGGCAAUGGACGAAAGGCUGACCGAGGAACGCCGCGUGAGUGAAUAAGGGUUUCGGAUCGGAAAACUCUGUUGGUAGAGAAGAACGUUGGUGAGAGUGGAAAGCUCAUCAAGUGACGGUAACUACCCAGAAAGGGACGGCUAACUACGUG
rnacentral:rRNA from 1 species